ACGCUCGACACCUACGGGAUGCAGCAGUGGGGAAUAUUGCACAAUGGGGGAAACCCUGAUGCAGCGAUGCCGCGUGAAGGAAGAAGUAUCUCGGUAUGUAAACUUCUAUCAGCAGGGAAGAAAAUGACGGUACCUGACUAAGAAGCCCCGGCUAACUACGUGCCAGCAGCCGCGGUAAUCUGAGCGGGCUGGCAAGGC
rnacentral:rRNA from 1 species